AACGAACGCUGGCGGCGCGUCUUAACCAUGCAAGUCGAGCGGCAGGCAGCAAUGCCGAGAGCGGCGGACUGGUGAGUAACACGUGGAUAACGUACCCCGAUGCCCGGGACAGCCUGUAGAAAUAGAGGGUAAUACCGGAUAGGUCACCGUUUAUGUUAGGUAGACGGCGGGAAAGGAGCUUCGGCUCCGCGCUGGGAUCGGUCUGCGGCCCAUCAAGCUCGUUGGUGAGGUAAGAGCUCACCAAGGCGAGGACGGGUAUCCGGCCUGAGAGGGCGGACGGACACAUUGGGACUGAGAUACGGCCCAGACUCCUACGGGAGGCAGCAGGUAAGAAUAUUCCGCAAUGGGGGGAACCCUGACGGAGCGACGCCGCGUGAACGAAGAAGGCCGGAAGGUUGUAAAGUUCUUUUCUGUUCGAGGAAUAAGUGUCGGAGGAAA
rnacentral:rRNA from 1 species